rnacentral:rRNA from 1 species
UGGCCCAGAUCGUUUACCGUGAAAAAAUUAGAGUGUUCAAAGCAGGCAGAUCCAAUUUUCUGCCACCGAAUACAUUAGCAUGGGAUAAUGGAAUAGGACCCUGUCCUCCUAUUUUCAGUUGGUUUUGGCAGCGCGAGGACUAGGGUAAUGAUUAAUAGGGAUAGUUGGGGGCAUUAAUAUUUAAUUGUCAGAGGUGAAAUUCUUGGAUUUAUGAAAGAUUAACUUCUGCGAAAGCAUCUGCCAAGGAUGUUUUCAUUAAUCAAGAACGAAAGUUAGGGGAUCGAAGACGAUCAGAUACCGUCGUAGUCUUAACCAUAAACGAUGCCGACCAGCGAUUAGGAGACGUUGAAUACAAAACACCACCAUCGGCGCGGUCGUCCUUGGCGUCUCGGUUCUUCACGGGGCCGGGG